CUUGGUUUUGCCUUGGUGCCAUCAAGACAAAUGCAGCAGGAGACAACACUGAGAUGGUCUCUCGGAAUGAAGCGGCAUAGGUUCUCCUGAGAGAAGUCGGAAGUUGCAGCUUAACCAUAUUCCCUUCACACAAGGCCUGCUCUUCGUGUGACUUCUGAAGAGCACUGCCUGACUUCAAUACCCACGGUCACCUUCCCUUCCAACUGAGGAGUGUGAGACAGAAGGCUGCUGGAAAAUGUAAAGAAAAAAAAAAGGCAUAGCGGCAGGUUCAUCCUUGCAACGACGCUUGCUGGAGUCUCCUUGUUAGAAGAGCAGAAUGUUCCAGAAAUGCAGCAAAGCAGAGCCUGAGCUGAGUCUUCAGGCAUCAGCAGCCUAGUGAAGAAGACAUGUGGCCCAACAGAUAGGUGUGCAGCAAUAAUUAAAGACCUGGUAUCUGGCCAUAGACCUUGGCGGGCCUGUGGUAUGCCUGGAGUCUAGGGAUAAGAACAGCCGCACGUGUGCAUGCAAGUCACCGGGAGCCCUACUGGCCUGUUUUCUAAGUGGA
rnacentral:lncRNA from 1 species